rnacentral:rRNA from 1 species
AUUGAACGCUGGCGGCAUGCCUUACACAUGCAAGUCGAACGGUAACAGGUCUUCGGAUGCUGACGAGUGGCGAACGGGUGAGUAAUACAUCGGAACGUGCCAAGUAGUGGGGGAUAACUACUCGAAAGAGUGGCUAAUACCGCAUGAGAUCUACGGAUGAAAGCAGGGGAUCGCAAGACCUUGUGCUACUAGAGCGGCCGAUGGCAGAUUAGGUAGUUGGUGGGAUAAAAGCUUACCAAGCCGACGAUCUAUAGCUGGUCUGAGAGGACGAUCAGCCACACUGGGACUGAGAAACGGCCCAGACUCCUACGGGAGGCAGCAGUGGGGAAUUUUGGACAAUGGGCGCAAGCCUGAUCCAGCAAUGCCGCGUGCAGGAUGAAGGCCUUCGGGUUGUAAACUGCUUUUGUACGGAACGAAAAGCCCCGGGUUAAUACCCUGGGGUCAUGACGGUACCGUAAGAAUAAGCACCGGCUAACUACGUGCCAGCAGCCGCCGUAA